GCCAGGUGUGGUGGCGGGCACCUGUAGUCCCAGCUACUUGGGAGGCUGAGACAGGAGAAUUGCUUGAACCCAGGAGGUGGAGGUUGCAGUGAGCCAAGAUCCUGCCAUUAGACUCCAGCCUGGGUGACAGAGCAAGACUCUGUCUCAA
rnacentral:SRP_RNA from 1 species